rfam:Brassica oleracea var. oleracea cultivar TO1000 chromosome C6, whole genome shotgun sequence
GUAGCUCGGAUGGCUAGAGCGUGUGGCUGUUAACCACAAGGUCGGAGGUUCAUACCCCCUUCC